AAUGAAGGUGGAGGGAUCAGGGAAGUAUUAGACGAGGACACAAGGACAGAUCGGAAAUCCAGAUUCAUUCGCAAUUAAUGCUAGAGAUCCCUCUACCAACCUUGUCCAACUAAUGCUGACCAAAGAGGACCUCACUAAAUCUGAACUGGGGAGAUCUAUAGACCACACUGAACACUCAAAUACUGAGGUAUAAGUUAAGUUCAAGUAAGUACUGUUGUCAGCCCAACAAUGAAAAAGAGACCCUCAAGUCUUGAUAGCUAUAAAGCCCAUGAAAUUAUGAAAAAGGAUCUGGACCUGUUGAAUGUAUUUACACUAAAUUUGCUUAUUUAUCCUUACAUGAGCCUACUGGACCAUCCACUCAAGCCUUUUCACGAGAUCCCUCUUAAAGAAUCUCUCUCAAGUGCAGAGCAAGAUUUCUUGAUAGGAGGCAAGUAAUGACAGUAAACCAGGCAACCUCCUCUCUUAAAAAUCAAAAGAAGGCAGCGAAUACAGCCCAAAUGCCUCCUUUUAAGCGAUGAGUGUUUUUGCCUGAAAUUGCAGACAAUUGGUCAGAUUCUGUAGUUCUCAGAAUAAAGGCCCUUGUAAAACAAUAUAAUCCUUUUCUGACUUUUCUCUCAGAAGCUAAUGUUCAGAUAGAAAAAAUGGAAGUUGUUUUGAAGAAUAUAAAAUUCUCAAACUUCAUCAUUCAUGAGCCACUGAGAUACAAAGGAAGGCUAUGCAUUGGCUGCAUAAAACUGAGAAUCCUAAAUGGGAAGUUUCAGGAAUCUAUGACCAUCUGGUUGUCACGAAACAAAAGACCUUUAUUGCUAAGCUACUUCUAUUAGGUAAUAUAAUCCAUCUUCCUCGCUUCUCAUGGGUGACUUUAACAUCACUUUAGUGGAUCACAAACGCAAUUUCCCCGCAAGGAACCUGGAAGGUAAUUCUGACUUAUUAUUUGGAGAUAGUUAAUUCUCUAGAACUGAUGGAUCUAAGCUAUACUGGUAAGCCAUGAACAUAAUAUUAGAGAGUAAAGAAACUCAGAAAAGUGAAGUAGAAGAAGAAAUUACUUCUUUAUUUAUUGAUUCAUGGAGAUAUAGCUCUC
rnacentral:lncRNA from 1 species